GGGCAAUGAUGAUGAAACACAUUUCUCGAUACUGAAGAUUCAUUAAAAUGCUUCUGUGAUGACUGUGAUUUAUGCGUGUCUGAGCCCC